GACGAACGCUGGCGGCGUGCUUAACACAUGCAAGUCGAACGGAAAGGCCCUGCUUUUGUGGUGUGCUCGAGUGGCGAACGGGUGAGUAACACGUGAGUAACCUGCCCUUGACUUUGGGAUAACUUCAGGAAACUGGGGCUAAUACCGGAUAGGAGCUCCUGCUGCAUGGUGGGGGUUGGAAAGUUUCGGAGGUGGGGGAUGGACUCGCGGCUUAUCAGCUUGUUGGGGGGGUAGUGGCUCACCAAGGCUUUGACGGGUAGCCGGCCUGAGAGGGUGACCGGCACAAUGGGGACUGGGAUCCGGCCCAGCCUCCUCCGGGGGGCAGCAGUGGGGAAUAUUGCACAUGGGGCGGAAGCCUGAUGAAGCACCGCCGCGUGCGGGAUGACGGCCUUCGGGUUGUAACCCGCUUUCGCCUGUGACGAAGCGUGAGUGACGGUAAUGGGUAAAGAAGCACCGGCUAACUACGUG
rnacentral:rRNA from 1 species